rnacentral:rRNA from 1 species
AUGAACGCUGGCGGCGUGCCUUAAGCAUGCAAGUCAAGGGGGCUCCGCAAGGAGCAACCGGCAGACGGGUGAGUAUAAGUAAGGAAUGUACCCCAAAGUGAAGGAUAGCUCGCCGAAAGGCGGGGUAAGCCUGCAUAUUAUCGUAAGAUCAAAGGACGUAACUGUCCGCUUUGGGAGCAGCCUUAUACCUAUCAGCUAGUAGGUAGGGUAAUGGCCUACCUAGGCUACGACGGGUAGGGGGAGUGAGAGCUUGACCCCCCACAAUGGAACUGAGAUACGGUCCAUACACCUACGGGUGGCAGCAACUGGGAAUAGUUGUCAAUGGACGAAAGUCUGAACACGCGACGCCGCGUGAGGGAUGAAGGCCUAUGGGUUGUAAACCUCUUUUGCCAAGACAUCGAAGCUUGGAGAAUAAGCACCUACUAACUACGU